rnacentral:rRNA from 1 species
UACAGAGGGUGCAAGCGUUGCUCGGAAUUAUUGGGCGUAAAGGGUAGGUAGGUGGUCUCAUUUGUCAGGGGUGAAAGCCUUGGGCUUAACCCAAGAAGUGCCUUUGAAACGGUGAGACUGGAGUCCUGGAGAGGGUCGUGGAAUUCCCGGUGUAGCGGUGAAAUGCGUAGAGAUCGGGAGGAACACCAGAGGCGAAGGCGGCGACCUGGACAGGCACUGACACUCAACUACGAAAGCGUGGGGAGCAAACAGG